CAGAUUAGCGUGUUUCUGAAGGGGCUCAUUUGAAACAGAUGGGGAAACUGAGUCAGACAGCAGUUAAAUGAUUUGCCCAGAGUACUAUCUUAUACAGGAUGUGAACUCACCUGAACUUCUGGACUCCAGUCCUCUGGACACCAGAUUAGGUGUAGGGAUAGGAUUUUACCCCUAAGAAAAGGACCCACAUGUGCAAAAAUGUUUGCAACAGCUCUUUCUGUUGUAGCAAAGAAUCGGAAAAGGAGUGGAUGUCUAUCAAUUGGGGAAUGGUUGAACAAGUUGUGGUAUGUGAAGGUAA